rnacentral:rRNA from 1 species
CCUGGCGGCCGUAGCGCGGUGGUCCCACCUGACCCCAUGCCGAACUCAGAAGUGAAACGCCGUAGCGCCGAUGGUAGUGUGGGGUCUCCCCAUGCGAGAGUAGGGCCCUGCCAGGC